AUACGGAGGGAGCAAGCGUUAUUCGGAAUCACUGGGCGUAAAGGACGCGUAGGCGGGUUUGUAAGUCAGGUGUGAAAUCCUACAGCUCAACUGUAGAACUGCACUUGAAACUACAGACCUAGAGUAUGGAAGGGGCAGAUGGAAUUAGUGGUGUAGGGGUAAAAUCCGUAGAUAUCACUAGGAAUACCGAGAGCGAAGGCGAUCUGCUGGGACAUUACUGACGCUGAGGCGUGAAAGCGUGGGGAGCAAACAGGAUUAGAAACCCUAGUAGUCC
rnacentral:rRNA from 1 species